rnacentral:rRNA from 1 species
UGGGGAAUCUUGCGCAAUGGGCGAAAGCCUGACGCAGCGAUGCCGCGUGGGGGAUGAAGGCUCUCGGGUCGUAAACCCCUUUCAGCAGGGACGAAAAUGACGGUACCUCCAGAAGAAGGACCGGCCAACUACGUGCCAGCAGCCGCGGUAAUACGUAGGGUCCUAGCGUUAUCCGGAAUCAUUGGGCGUAAAGAGCUCGUAGGCGGUUCAGCAAGUCGGCUGUGAAAGUCCGAGGCUCAACCUCGGAAUUGCAGUCGAUACUGCUGUGACUCGAGUCCGGUAGAGGAGAAUGGAAUUCCCGGUGUAGCGGUGAAAUGCGCAGAUAUCGGGAGGAACACCAGUAGCGAAGGCGGUUCUCUGGGCCGGCACUGACGCUGAGGAGCGAAAGCGUGGGGAGCAAACAGGAUUAGAUACCCCCGUAGUCC